AUCGUUUCGGAGCCAUUUGAAACCUUCAUCUCAGAUCUCACUGAGAAACGAUUCGAGGCCAAGUCACUGUGUAACAUGAUAAAGCAGUAGGAUCCUGACUUGCUUGCUAAUAUCUGAGCUCUUAUUUCGGUGAAAACUGUGUUGUUCAUUUGCAUCAAAUGUGCACUCCUUAAUCGAUCUCGCUUGAAGAAUCAAAAUCCAUGAGCUGACUGCCUUACUUCUUCCAGGCCAGUUGUUAUCUGGAAGAAGGCCUAGGAGAAUACAACUAAUAAGAGAUAUAAAUCUUUGAUGCUCUUGUGGAGGAGUGCUCUAAAGUAUGUGUAUAUAUUUGUCGAUUUUUCCUUAAUGGCUUCCUGUAUUUGGUAGUUACUCUAUGAAAAUUAGGACUAUGAUGUUUGUCUUCCUUUAAUUUUGGUCGCAAGCAAUGACGAAGACCCAGGUGUUAGACAUGUUCGUACAUCUUGGUGUUUGCAACAGUUUUUGGUAAGUUGCAUUUGCUAUUUGAUUUAUUGGAGAACUGUUGAUGUCAUGUUCAGAAUGCUCUUUAUGGACUUGGGCUUUACGCGGAAUAUGGUGGUUCUGAUUUCAACCGUUUGUUGGAAGUAUGAUAGUGUUGAAUGAGAUAUUGAGACCCUUUCGUCAUGGAGAGGGGACAAAAAGUGAUGUUUUUUUGUGUUUAGUUAAUCUUAUGACCUGAAUCAGAGCCUCUGUCAAGGAUCAAUGUAGUGGCAAUGCAUUUAAAAGCUCUUGAACCUGAGAAUGUGGAUGCAUAUGAUAAUGCUGUUUUUGGACUUGGUCAGGCAGAGAACUUUUAGGUUCCAGCUUUCAUUACCUUCCAAAAGCUGUUUCAGUUUUUGCAGAGGUUCUAUGUUGUUAAACAGAUCUUGAUACAAAAGAAACUACAAAUCGCAUGAUUAAUGUAUUUGAGACAUCUUCAGCAAGCGCUACUACCAGCCACCUUGAAUCAACAUGGUUAUAUUUUGCCUCAGUAUAUCUUUUGCAUCAGAAGGAGUUGGAAUGGGUAUAAUAGAAAAGCUCAAGUUAAUCGUUGCUCCAGAAAUAGGGUUCAGGGGUCUAUAUGCAUGUGUGCAAAACUAGUAAUUUUUGAGUGGUAAACAUGCUUGAAUAUACCUUUGAAUUCAAAGAACAUGUUUUAGACUUUUCGAAAAUAGUUUAGUUGAGUUUGACUUCUGAAUUGGUAAUUUGGAACAAGAAGAGUUGGAAAACAAGGUAUAUGGCUACAGAUUCUUUCUACUACAUGACUCUUAACCUCACAAAAAUAUAACUCAAAAUCAAGUGGCCGUUUGAUUGUGAUGGAGAAUUGUAGCCCUUGAAGUACAGUUCCAAUGGUUUAGAUGGUUUGCAAAUUUGACGUUCCGAUACAAACUUUUGGGAAUUUAACUGAAUACGCACAACACUAGAAUGGUGUGAUCAUUCCAAAGCUCCAGAAUUCAACCUAAACACUGUCAAAUUGCUAUGAGCAGGUUAUGUUGAAGGGAGAGAGGAGGAGAGUGUUCUUUGCUGAUUUUGAGUUAUAUUUUUGUAUUAGCUAUGAAUCUAAUAAAUCAGGAGUUCACUUGGAUUAUAUUUUUGCCCUAUAUGGUUCUCGUAUAUUAUAGUUUUUGCAGUUCAUCAAUGGGCUGCCAUUUGAAAAGGGGGAAGAAUAAAGAUGAGACGUCAUAUAUGACUAAUAGAAUCUGUAUCUUUUUGAGCU